rnacentral:tRNA from 1 species
GAGAAGGUGGCUCAGUGGUAGAGUGCUUGCUUUCCAUACAAGAGCCUGGGGUUUGAUUCCUCAGCAUCACA